GUCGACGAACUCUGGUAUUGAUUGGUGCUUGCAUCAUGAUUUACAUUUGAGUGAGUGGCGAACUGGUGAGUAACACGUGGGAAACCUGCCCAGAAGCGGGGGAUAACACCUGGAAACAGAUGCUAAUACCGCAUAACAACUUGGACCGCAUGGUCCGAGUUUGAAAGAUGGCUUCGGCUAUCACUUUUGGAUGGUCCCGCGGCGUAUUAGCUAGAUGGUGGGGUAACGGCUCACCAUGGCAAUGAUACGUAGCCGACCUGAGAGGGUAAUCGGCCACAUUGGGACUGAGACACGGCCCAAACUCCUACGGGAGGCAGCAGUAGGGAAUCUUCCACAAUGGACGAAAGUCUGAUGGAGCAACGCCGCGUGAGUGAAGAAGGGUUUCGGCUCGUAAAACUCUGUUGUUAAAGAAGAACAUAUCUGAGAGUAACUGUUCAGGUAUUGACGGUAUUUAACCAGAAAGCCACGGCUAACUACGUGCCAGCAGCCGCGGUAAUACGUAGGUGGCAAGCGUUGUCCGGAUUUAUUGGGCGUAAAGCGAGCGCAGGCGGUUUUUUAAGUCUGAUGUGAAAGCCUUCGGCUCAACCGAAGAAGUGCAUCGGAAACUGGGAAACUUGAGUGCAGAAGAGGACAGUGGAACUCCAUGUGUAGCGGUGAAAUGCGUAGAUAUAUGGAAGAACACCAGUGGCGAAGGCGGCUGUCUGGUCUGUAACUGACGCUGAGGCUCGAAAGUAUGGGUAGCAAA
rnacentral:rRNA from 1 species